rnacentral:rRNA from 1 species
CAAGUAAUUAAGUGCAUGUGGUGGAUGCCUUGGCAGUCAGAGGCGAUGAAAGACGUGAUAGCCUGCGAAAAGCUCCGGGGAGGCGGCAAAUAUCCUUUGAUCCGGAGAUGUCUGAAUGGGGGAACCCACCUACUUUAAGGUAGGUAUUGCAACAUGAAUACAUAGUGUUGCAAGGCGAACGAGGGGAAGUGAAACAUCUCAGUACCCUUAGGAAAAGAAAUCAAUUGAGAUUCCCUCAGUAGCGGCGAGCGAACGGGGAUCAGCCCAUUAAGUUAUGUGUGUUUUAGUGGAACGCUCUGGGAAGUGCGAACGUAGAGGGUGAUAUUCCCGUACACGAAAGGGCACACAUAAUGAUGACGAGUAGGGCGAGGCACGUGAAACCUUGUCUGAAUAUGGGGGGACCAUCCUCCAAGGCUAAAUACUCCUGACUGACCGAUAGUGAACCAGUACCGUGAGGGAAAGGCGAAAAGAACCCCUGUGAGGGGAGUGAAAUAGAUCCUGAAACCGCAUGCAUACAAGCAGUGGGAGCACCUUCGUGGUGUGACUGCGUACCUUUUGUAUAAUGGGUCAGCGACUUAUAUUCAGUAGCGAGGUUAACCGUAUAGGGGAGCCGUAGAGAAAUCGAGUCUUAAUAGGGCGUUUAGUUGCUGGGUAUAGACCCGAAACCAGGCGAUCUAUCCAUGAGCAGGUUGAAGGUUGGGUAACACUAACUGGAGGACCGAACCCACUGUCGUUGAAAAGCCAGGGGAUGACUUGUGGAUAGGGGUGAAAGGCUAAUCAAGCCUGGUGAUAGCUGGUUCUCCCCGAAAGCUAUUUAGGUAGCGCCUCGGACGAAUACCAUAGGGGGUAGAGCACUGUUUCGGCUAGGGGGUCAUCCCGACUUACCAAACCGAUGCAAACUCCGAAUACCUAUGAGUACUAUCCGGGAGACAGACUGCGGGUGCUAACGUCCGUAGUCAAGAGGAAAACAAUCCAGACCGCCAGCUAAGGCCCCAAAAUCAUAGUUAAGUGGGAAACGAUGUGGGAAGGCAUAGACAGCUAGGAGGUUGGCUUAGAAGCAGCCACCCUUUAAAGAAAGCGUAAUAGCUCACUAGUCGAGUCGGCCUGCGCGGAAGAUGUAACGGGGCUAAAACUAUGUGCCGAAGCUGCGGAUGUAUACUUUGUAUACGUGGUAGGGGAGCGUUCUGUAAGCCGAUGAAGGUGUGUUGAGAAGCAUGCUGGAGGUAUCAGAAGUGCGAAUGCUGACGUGAGUAACGACAAAACGGGUGAAAAACCCGUUCGCCGAAAGACCAAGGGUUCCAGUCCAACGUUAAUCGGGGCUGGGUGAGUCGACCCCUAAGGCGAGGCCGAAAGGCGUAGUCGAUGGGAAAAUGGUUAAUAUUCCAUUACUUCUGUGUAAUGCGAUGAGAGGACGGAGAAGGCUAAAUCAGCCUGGCGUUGGUUGUCCAGGUGAAAGGAUGUAGGCAUGUAUCUUAGGCAAAUCCGGGGUACUCUAUGCUGAGAUCUGAUAGCAAGCUGUACUUGUACAGCGAAGUGGUUGAUGCCAUGCUUCCAGGAAAAGUCUCUAAGCUUCAGUUACACAGGAAUCGUACCCGAAACCGACACAGGUGGUCAGGUCGAGUAGACCAAGGCGCUUGAGAGAACUCUGCUGAAGGAACUAGGCAAAAUGGUACCGUAACUUCGGGAGAAGGUACGCUGUUGUUGGUGAUGGAACUCGCUUCCUGAGCUGACGACAGCCGCAGAAACCAGGCCGCUGCAACUGUUUAUUAAAAACAUAGCACUCUGCAAACACGAAAGUGGACGUAUAGGGUGUGAUGCCUGCCCGGUGCUGGAAGGUUAAUUGAUGGGGUUAGCGUAAGCGAAGCUCUUGAUCGAAGCCCCAGUAAACGGCGGCCGUAACUAUAACGGUCCUAAGGUAGCGAAAUUCCUUGUCGGGUAAGUUCCGACCUGCACGAAUGGCAUAAUGAUGGCGGCGCUGUCUCCAGCAGAGGCUCAGUGAAAUCGAAAUCGCUGUGAAGAUGCAGUGUACCCGCGGCUAGACGGAAAGACCCCGUGAACCUUUACUGCAGCUUGACACUGAACUUUGACCUUACUUGUGUAGGAUAGGUGGGAGGCUUUGAAGCUGGAACGCUAGUUCCAGUGGAGCCGUCCUUGAAAUACCACCCUGGUAAUGUUGAGGUUCUAACUCUGUCCCGUGAUCCGGGACGAGGACCGUGUCUGGUGGGUAGUUUGACUGGGGCGGUCUCCUCCUAAAGAGUAACGGAGGAGUACGAAGGUGCGCUCAGCGUGGUCGGAAAUCACGCGUAGAGUAUAAAGGCAAAAGCGCGCUUAACUGCGAGACCCACAAGUCGAGCAGGUACGAAAGUAGGUCUUAGUGAUCCGGUGGUUCUGUAUGGAAGGGCCAUCGCUCAACGGAUAAAAGGUACUCUGGGGAUAACAGGCUGAUACCGCCCAAGAGUUCAUAUCGACGGCGGUGUUUGGCACCUCGAUGUCGGCUCAUCUCAUCCUGGGGCUGAAGCAGGUCCCAAGGGUAUGGCUGUUCGCCAUUUAAAGAGGUACGCGAGCUGGGUUUAGAACGUCGUGAGACAGUUCGGUCCCUAUCUACCGUGGGCGCUGGAAAUUUGAGAGGAUCUGCUCCUAGUACGAGAGGACCAGAGUGGACGAACCUCUGGUGUACCGGUUGUGACGCCAGUCGCAUCGCCGGGUAGCUAUGUUCGGAAGGGAUAACCGCUGAAAGCAUCUAAGCGGGAAGCCUACCUCAAGAUAAGAUUUCCCUAGGACUUUAUGUCCUCUAAAGAGCCGUUCGAGACUAGGACGUUGAUAGGUUGGAUGUGGAAGCAUAGUGAUAUGUGAAGCUGACCAAUACUAAUUGCUCGUGAGGCUUGACU